GAUGAACGCUAGCUACAGGCUUAACACAUGCAAGUCGAGGGGCAGCAUGAACACAGCUUGCUAUGUUUGAUGGCGACCGGCGCACGGGUGCGUAACACGUAUCCAAUCUGCCCGUUACUCGGGGAUAGCCUUCUGAAAGGAAGAUUAAUACCCGAUGGCAUGUAUUUCCGGCAUCGGAGAUACAUUAAAGAUUAAUCGGUAACGGAUGGGGAUGCGUACGAUUAGCUUGUUGGCGGGGUAACGGCCCACCAAGGCUACGAGCGUUAGGGGUUCUGAGAGGAAGGUCCCCCAGACUGGAACUGAGACACGGUCCAGACUCCUACGGGAGGAAGCAGUGAGGAAUAUUGGUCAAUGGUCGGAAGACUGAACCAGCCAAGUAGCGUGAAGGAUGACUGCCCUACGGGUUGUAAACUUCUUUUGUUUGGGAAUAAAAGACGCUACGUGUAGCGUUCAGCAUGUACCUUACGAAUAAGCAUCGGCUAAUUCCGUGCCAGCCGCCGCCGUAAAAC
rnacentral:rRNA from 1 species